rnacentral:rRNA from 1 species
GACGAACGCUGGCGGCGUGCUUAACACAUGCAGGUCGAGCGGUAAGGCCCUUUCGGGGUACGACGAGCGGCGAACGGGUAGGAGUAACAACGUGGGUGGACCUCGCCCUCCAGCUCUGGGAGUAAAGCCUCGGGAAACCGGGGUACCGUAAUAACCGGAUAUGACUCCAUGACGCAUGUUGUGGGGUGGAAAGACCUUGUGCGGCUGAGGAUGGGCCCGGCCGGCCUAUCAGCUUGUUGGUGGGGUGAUGGCCUACCAAGGCGACGACGGGUAGCCGGCCUGAGAGGGCGACCGGCCACACUGGGACUGAGACACGGCCCAGACUCCUACGGGAGGGCAGCAGUGGGGAAGUCUUGCGCAAUGGGCGAAAGCCUGACGCAGCGACGCCGCGUGAGGGAUGACGGCCUCGU